CCAAACUUGGUCAUUUAGAGGAAGUAAAAGUCGUAACAAGGUUUCCGUAGGUGAACCUGCGGAAGGAUCAUUAAUGAGAAAACUGCCCUUUUGGGUAGAUCUCCCACCCUUUGUUUAUAUUACCUUUGUUGCUUUGGCAGGCCCGUCCUAUUGACCACCGGCUUUGGCUGGUCCGUGCCUGCCAGAGGACCCCAUACUCUUGAUUUCAAGUUGUCUGAGUCCUAUACAAUCGUAAAAACUUUCAACAACGGAUCUCUUGGUUCUGGCAUCGAUGAAGAACGCAGC
rnacentral:misc_RNA from 1 species